rnacentral:rRNA from 1 species
GCGAGCGUUAUCCGGAAUCACUGGGCGUAAAGGGUGCGUAGGCGGCUAGAUAAGCCAGAGGUGAAAGGCUACGGCUCAACCGUAGUAAGCCUUUGGAACUGUUUAGCUUGAGUGCAGGAGAGGAGAGUGGAAUUCCUAGUGUAGCGGUGAAAUGCGUAGAUAUUAGGAGGAACACCAGUGGCGAAGGCGACUCUCUGGACUGCAACUGACGCUGAGGCACGAAAGUGUGGGGAGCGAACAGGAUUAGAUACCCUGGUAGUCCACGCCGUAAACGAUGAGUGCUAGGUGUCGGGGGUUCACACCCUCGGUGCCGGAGUUAACGCAUUAAGCACUCCGCCUGGGGAGUACGGUCGCAAGACUGAAACUCAAAGGAAUUGACGGGGACCCGCACAAGCAGCGGAGCAUGUGGUUUAAUUCGAAGCAACGCGAAGAACCUUACCAGGACUUGACAUCCCUAUGACCGGUCCUUAAUCGGACUUUUCCCUUCGGGGACGUAGGAGACAGGUGGUGCAUGGUUGUCGUCAGCUCGUGUCGUGAGAUGUUGGGUUAAGUCCCGCAACGAGCGCAACCCUUGUCUUUAGUUGCCAGCAGGUAAAGCUGGGCACUCUAGAGAGACUGCCGGUGACAAACCGGAGGAAGGUGGGGAUGACGUCAAAUCAUCAUGCCCCUUAUGUUCUGGGCUACACACGUGCUACAAUGGCUGGUACAACGGGAAGCCAAGGAGUAAUCUGGAGCGAAUCCCAAAAAGCCAGUCCCAGUUCGGAUUGUGGGCUGCAACUCGCCCACAUGAAGUCGGAGUU